UAAUCGAGUGUCUAGGGAUGCUGACAGGUUUACUUUGAAAAAAUUAGAGUGCUCAAAGCAGGCUAUUACGCUUGAAUAUUAGUGCAUGGAAUAAUAGAAUAGGAAGUUGUUUCUAUUUGGUGGUUUUCGGAAAUCGACUUAAUGAUUAAUAGGGACAGUCGGGGGCAUUUGUAUUCAAACGACAGAGGUGAAAUUCUUGGACCGUUUGAAGACAAACUACUGCGAAGGCAUUUGCCAAGAAUGUUUUCAUUAAUCAAGAACGAAAGUUAGAGGUUCGAAGGCGAUUAGAUACCGCCCUAGUUCUAACCAUAAACGAUGCCAGCUAGCGAUCUGAGGACGUUUUUUUUGUAGACUCCUCAGGAAGCUUCCGGGAAACCAAAGCGUGUGGGUUCCGGGGGAAGUAUGGUUGCAAAGCUGAAACUUAAAGGAAUUGACGGAAGGGCACCACCAGGAGUGGAGCCUGCGGCUUAAUUUGACUCAACACGGGAAAUCUCACCAGGCCCGGACACUGGAAGGAUUGACAGAUUGAGAGCUCUUUCUCGAUUCGGUGGGUGGUGGUGCAUGGCCGUUCUUAGUUGGUGGAGUGAUUUGUCUGGUUAAUUCCGAUAACGAACGAGACUCUGUCCUGCUAAAUAGUGUCAGCCUCUCUUUUGGGCUGACAAUUCUUCUUAGAGGGACUGGCGGCUCCUAGCCGCACGAGAUAGAGCAAUAACAGGUCUGUGAUGCCCUUAGAUGUUCUGGGCAGCACGCGCGCUACACUGAAUAGAUCAGCGUGUUCUCCCUUUCUGAGAAGAACGGGUAAACCGCUGAACCCUAUUCGUGGUAGGGAUCGGGGCUUGCAAUUAUUCCCCGUGAACCAGGAAUUCCCAGUAGGCGCGAGUCAUAAGCUCGCGUCGAUUACGUCCCUGCCCUUUGUACACACCGCCCGUCGCUACUACCGAUUGAACGUUUUAGUGAGGUCCACGGACUGUUUGCAGAGCGGAUUAUUCUGCCUUGCUGGCGGGAAG
rnacentral:rRNA from 1 species